UUCAGGUUUUGGGACAUCAGUAUAGACUCCUUUGACCAUGUGUAAAAGCUGCACCAUAUGCUGAACCCCAGGCAUGGGAGAGCCAUUACAGUUCUGACCUGGAUUACUUAACGAUGGCAUUAUGACUCCUAAUGAUGGUGUUGUGACUCUUUCAAAGCUGAUCACCAUCAUUUCCUAACCCACCUCCACACCUCAGCAGCAGUUGUCUCUGAUCCUGGAUGAGGAUGAAGGUGGCCACAAUCUCCUAAGCCACUGCUUUCCACUUAUGGGACCAAAGUGGAGGGAAGUGGAUGGAAGACUGAACCCCCGGCAAGCUGCCAUCAAAGAGAUCCAGAUUUCAUGUGUGGAGACCAAGAGGAUUCUUUGCUAUUGUGCUUGCCAAUGGAAGGGAGGAAAAAAGGAAGAAAGGAAAAAGAAAGAAGAAGAAAGAAAAUACCUUAAUUAAAACAUGAUCUGG
rnacentral:lncRNA from 14 species